GGUAUUUUGACCGUGCAAAGGUAGCAUAAUCAUUAGUUUUUUAAUUGAAAGCUGGAAUGAAAGGUUGGAUGAGAAAUAAGCUGUCUCUAUUUAAUUUUAUUAGAAUUUUAUUUUUAAGUAAAAAAGCUUAAAUUUUAAUAGAAGACGAGAAGACCCUAUAGAGUUUUAUUUAUUUUUUAAAUAAAAUUAAUAGUAUUAAUUAUUUUUAUUUAAUGGAUAAAUUUGGUUGGGGUGAUUGAAAAAUUUAAUAAACUUUUUUUAUAUGUAUACAUUGAUAUAUGAUUAAUUGAUCCUUAGUUUAAGAUUAAAAGAUAAAAUUACCUUAGGGAUAACAGCGUAAUUUUUUUUGAGAGUUCUAAUCGAAAGAAAAGAUUGCGACCUCGAUGUUGGAUUAAAAUAAAAUUUUGGUGUAGAAGCUAAAA
rnacentral:rRNA from 2 species